ensembl:lncRNA
UAGACAUGUAGACAUAUCUCUAUAUCCAUAUAUCUAUAUGUCGAUAUCUAUAUAAAUAUACACACACCCCAGCCUCAGAGGCCUCAGAAAACCUGUUAAAAGCCAUAACAGACUUUGGAACACACCAUAAAAAUAUUCCUGAAAGGAGCAGUGGCAGGAGCAGUGCAAAGCUGGGGCAGGGGAGCCCAAGGGGAAGGAGCUGCUGUUCCUUUUCCUUUAAGUGCAGGUCCCCAGCCUGGCCCGAGUCAGCAGGGCAGAAUUCUCUGGGCCUUAUAUGGCUUGUUCUGAUUUUUUGUUUUGUUUUUUUUUAAGUGACUCCACGGAUUUUUUUCAUCCUAUAUUCACACAAAGAAAACUUUUUCACAUAAUUGUCUUCAUUAAGUGAAAUCAUCAGGGCGGGUGAGAAACAUCCUCGGCCUGAUGCUGCCGUGAAAAUCGUCCCAGGGACUGCUCAGCACACGAAAUUCUGGUUUAUUUUCGUUCCCAGUUGCAGAUGCCAGGGGCUCUCAGAAGGCAGAGGGGGCCUGGCCCAGCGCCCCGCAGCGGCCUGGCCUGCAACGGGAGCGAAGUGGGGCCCGCGGAAGUGGAUCUGAGGAGCAGGAGCCAUCAGACCUCAGGUUUCCUUUUUCCCCGAGAUGGAAACUCAGCAGCUCUCAGAGAGGAGCUGGGGAGAGAUGGAAACUCAGCAGCUCUCAGAGAGGAGCUGGGGAUCCCUUGGCUCUGGCUGAAGCAGCAUCACUUCCCUGAACUGCAGAGUUCAGGGAGGACAACUGCUGUGCCCUGCCACUGCAGGACAAGGGAUGCUAACUGGGAGAUAUUUACACAAUAUUUGUCAUUUAAAAAUAAAAAAUUACUGCACUGGGAGCUCUGACAGCUCCAGCACUGUCAAAGGAUAAGAGGCUAAAUAGAUUUUGAGUAGAAGUAUUGGCCUUUGAUGAGCCUUGUGAGUCCCUUCCAAUUUAGGAUUUUCUGUGAUGUGAUGUUUUAACUCUUUCAUUUGCCACAAUAUUGCAGAAAUGGCCAAGCUAGCACAGAGCAGGUAUGUUCACAGCAGAGCAGAGGUUUGGUGCAACUGAGCUGGUCUGAAACCCUGAGCUCUGAUGCAGAUAUCAAUCUAUUGAGAUAUUGAGAUAUUGAGGAAUUGUGUGGGCACACCUUGUCACAGCUCAGCCUCAAGACUGUGCUUGCACUGGUGGUUUCUUAGUUUGGGUGAACUGGAGAAAAAGGAGAGGAAACCUACAAUAAUUGUUUAGAAAUAACAGUUUAUGAGAGGGGAAACCAUAAACAGUUAAACAAGGUAUUGAAGGGAAAUCAAAGCUAAAAUCACAGAAUAUCCUGAGCUGGAAGGGACCCACACAGAUGACCCAGUCCAGCUCCUGGCCCUGCACAGGACAACCCCAAAACCCCACCCUGUGCCUCAGAGUGUUUUCCAACAUGUUGAGCCUUCAGAGAAUGUGGUGGGCACAGGUAGAUCAUCAAAACCUCAGCACCACGACACAAAAAUGAAUUCAAUACUGGUAUUGGAGUUGGAAGGAUGAUCUGGCAGGUCUGAUUUCUCUUGGUUAAUGCCCAUCUAAUUUCUCUCUCUCCUCAGUUUCAGUUCUAUUGGGAUGACAUUUCAAAUCUCAGUGCUCUGCAUGAAUUCCAAAAGCAGCCUGUGCCAGUGGGCAGUGAGAAUUUAGCAUCUGAAUGAAUUUCAGCCUCGUGUUUUGUCCUGAAUGCUUGCUGCUCCCUUUUCAGAUCUGGAAAGUUGCAGAGUGACAUAUCUCUGGAUUUUUUAUAUUGUGAUUCUUUUCUCCUAGGAUCUAUGCCCUGCCAGUUCUGGGAAACUUGUGACCUCUGCAUUUUUAAUUAGAACCCGUAACUUUUUCCAUAGCAACAUAUUUUGAUGCUGCAAAUACAGAAUCUGUCAAAUCAAACAACUCCUGGUUAGAUGAAAUCCAAAUAUAUGGAAAUGCUGAGCAGUAAUAAGAUGUAGGAUAUGGCACAGUAAAGAAAAAAAUUGAAAGAGACAAUAAAAGAAGGAUGGAAACUUUGCUUAAUUUAUAAGUUUGAUUCUAGUAAUUAAUUGAUCAAUACAAAUUAUUAAAUUGUUGUGUCAGCACCCACCUGGUACAAAGGAAUGAACUAUUCUCAGGAAAUAUUUUAGAUGUGGCAAAGUCUCACUCACAAGGAUGAUCAGUAGAAGCAGGUGUUGAAAGCAAAAUAAUCCUCUGAAACAAAGCCCAAGUUCAGAUAUUUACAGAAUAAUGAAGCUCAAUAGGACGAGUUGAGGCAAAUAAUUCAGUAAGACAGCAGUUCUAGAUAGACUUUUCCAAAACCAUUGAUUUAUGAGCAUACCUUGCAUGUGCCAAAAAAUUAUUUCCUUCAACAAGAAAGUUUUGGAAUUUUUGUUGUUUGGCUUUACUGUGUAAGGGUUACUGGAAUUCAUUCAUUGAUUCUCAAUUACUAACAUUUUUUGGUAUUAUUGUUUUUAUUAUAUUUUCUACAAUGUGUUAUUAUUUAUUAUAAUUUGGUAUUACUGUUUUGGACAUCUCUGUGAGCUUUGUUAAAGGUAUUUCUGUGUCAAUAGAGACCUGCAGAACAGUGUCACCUGUGCCUUGGACUUACCAAGUAAGGCACUACUAAAUUUCCUCUCAGGCAUGAAAAGUCUUGGACAAAAUUAUUAUUAUUUCCUGAUUAACCAGACUUUUGCUCACUCUCAUAGUCAGUUAUUUGGGGUUCCUUUUCCUGCUUUGAGCAAAGAUUUUGUUUCCGACUAAGAAGUCAUCCUGCCAUUCCUAACCCCACACCAGUCCCUCACCCUUCUGCAGGGCCAUCCCUGUGGAAUUCCCUGGCAGGCCAGCAGCCAGGAGACAUCCAUGGCCUUGGGAAGGUUUUUAAACAAAUGUUGAAGUGCAGGAACAUCUUCUAGAAGCAAACACCAAUGUGGGAAUAGCAGCUUUGGUUUCUUCCCUCUGGUUAGUGUUAGACACAUGAUUACUGUGCCUUUGUCUAGUCCAUCUGUUUCCACUUUCCAUAAAAAAUGCUGGAAUAUGAAGUUAAACUCGGUGUUUUAACCUUGCAUUGCAAACAAGGGGUUCCUGGGUGCUCCGUUCUCACAGACACCCUGGGGGUGUGUCUGGCCAGAGGGGCACAAAACCCCAACAGUUCCCCACAGAUAUCUGUAUUUUCCCUCAGAAAACUCAGAUCCACAGUCCAGAAAAUGCCCUUUGUAGUCUGCAAGGCUGUCUAAACACAGUAUGAAAAUAGAUGACAUCACUUACACAAUUUAGGUUUUCUCCAUGAAAAUGAAAAGCUCCGUUCGUGUGAACUGCCUGACAAUUGUCAGAGGAGGGAACUUUUCAAAUGAAAUGCUUCAUCUCACUAAUUUAGAGCAACAAAAACCACAACACUGCUCUGAAAGCUUUGAUUUCCCAAACCCAUGAUGUUUUUUAAUUUAUUUAGAAGCACGAUGGAACAGUUUCAUAAAUCUCCUGCCACAUAUACCAUCCACUUAGGCAAUCUGACAGCUUGCUUGCCGGAAUACACGGGACACACAGGGAGCAUCACUAUAUUUAUGUGUGCCCAAAAAGGACACAGCAUUAUUUUUAAAAACCAAAUAGAAAAAA